rnacentral:rRNA from 1 species
AGCAGCCGCGGUAAUUCCAGCUCCAAUAGCGUAUAUUAAAGUUGCUGCAGUUAAAAAGCUCGUAGUUGAAUUUCGGGACCAUCAUGUCGGUCGUGCCUCGGUACGUACUGGCAUUGUUGGUUUCUCCCUUCUGACGAACUAUGAUGUCAUUUAUUUGGUGUCGUGGGAAAUCAGGACUGUUACUUUGAAAAAAUUAGAGUGUUUAAAGCAGGCUCACGCUUGAAUACAUUAGCAUGGAAUAAUGAAAUAGGACGUUUGAUUCUAUUUUGUUGGUUUCUAGGAUCGACGUAAUGAUUAAUAGGGAUAGUUGGGGGCAUUAGUAUUCAAUUGUCAGAGGUGAAAUUCUUGGAUUUAUUGAAGACUAACUACUGCGAAAGCAUUUGCCAAGGAUGUUUUCAUUAAUCAAGAACGAAAGUUAGGGGAUCGAAGACGAUCAGAUACCGUCGUAGUCUUAACCAUAAACUAUGCCGACUAGGGAUCGGAUGAUGUUAAUUUUUUAAUGACUCA